rnacentral:lncRNA from 1 species
AGACAAAAGCACUUGUACACCGCUUGGCCCGAGAUGUCAAACGGCUCGUGACUUGCCACGUUAAUCUCGUGACCAGAGUUGCUGCUGUAGCCAUGUGUGAGGGAUUAUGCUCCUCUCAAUCCGUCCUCAUCCUGCAGCUCAACCUCACACCUGAAGGAGUGGGCUCUCCACUUUCACUCUGCUGCAGAGAGCAGCUCGAGGAUGUUCUCCUGCCCGUCUCCUGCGUCAGGAGGCAGGUAACUGGGAUUACGAGCGGCGGCGAUGUUCCUGCUCAGGAAGGAGGUCUCAGCGACAUGAUCCCUGGAAAGAGUGAGUUCUUAAAGCAUAUUUACCACAUCAGUGUUUUGUUGGUUCCAUUGGGAAAAUAAAAGCACAUCAUCCCUUGAUGAAAUUCAAAUCCUCCUGCACCUGAUGUUUGGAUGUGUGUCA